rnacentral:sRNA from 1 species
CCCCUUCACCAAGCUUGGGCACUAUGCCUUUGUAGCUACGAAUUGAACUCAUCAUUUCACC